rnacentral:rRNA from 1 species
UGGAACUGCCAUCAAAACUUUUCAGCUAGAGUAUGAUAGAGGAAAGCAGAAUUUCUAGUGUAGAGGUGAAAUUCGUAGAUAUUAGAAAGAAUACCAAUUGCGAAGGCAGCUUUCUGGAUCAUUACUGACACUGAGGAACGAAAGCAUGGGUAGCGAAGAGGAUUAGAUACCCUCGUAGUCCAUGCCGUAAACGAUGUGUGUUAGACGUUGGAAAUUUAUUUUCAGUGUCGCAGCGAAAGCGAUAAACACACCGCCUGGGGAGUACGACCGCAAGGUUAAAACUCAAAUGAAUUGACGGGGACCCGCACAAGUAGUGGAGCAUGUGGUUUAAUUCGAAGAUACGCGCAGAACCUUACCAACACUUGACAUGUUCGUCGCGACUCUAAGAGAUUAGAGUUUUCGGUUCGGCCGGACGAAACACAGGUGCUGCAUGGCUGUCGUCAGCUCGUGUCGUGAGAUGUUGGGUUAAGUCCCGCAACGAGCGCAACCCUCACUUUUAGUUGCCAUCAUUUAGUUGGGCACUCUGAAAGAACUGCCAGUGAUAAGCUGGAGGAAGGUGGGGAUGACGUCAAGUCCUCAUGGCCCUUACGUGUUGGGCUACACACGUGCUACAAUGGCAUCUACAACAGGAAGCAAAACGGCAACGUUAAGCAAAUCCCGAAAAGAUGCCUCAGUUCGGAUUGCACUCUGCAACUCGAGUGCAUGAAGCUGGAAUUACUAGUAAUCGUGGAUCAGCGUGCCACGGUGAAUGCGUUCCCGGGUCUUGUACACACCGCCCGUCACACCAUGGGAGUUGGUUCUACCUUAAGGCAAGGUUUUAAACCCUUGACCACGGUAUAGUCAGCGACUGGGGUGAAGUCGUAACAAGGUAACCAAGGG